rnacentral:tRNA from 1 species
GGACUGCAAAUCCAAAAACGCCCAAAUUCUUUG